UGGUGAGUAUGUUGUGAAAUGAAGUAGUAAGAGAAAUGGGUUCUAACAAGUGUUCCCUAAUUUGGUUUGUUCUGUUUUUGUGUAUCAUCGGUUUCUCAACUAUUGCUGUUGCUUCUGAAGUGUAUGCAAAUUCAGAUGAAAUUGGUGUGAAUAGAAAAUUACUUCGCGAAUGUCGGAGACAAAGAAUUGGUAAUGAAGUUGACGACGUACCGCCUAGUCAUCCUCGCUGCCACAAUUUUCCUUGACAUGACUGUGUUUUGUAACACAAUCAUGAAUGAAGUACAGAAAAUAAAACACAAAUACUAUUUUUCAUUCGUGUUCAGUUCUUGUGUUUUGUUUCUUAUUAAUAGAUUAUUUAUAAUUUAUGUUGGUUUUUAUUUGUAAUUUUAGUAAUCUUUUAGAUUACUUGCGUAUUAUAUUAAUUUAUUUUGUGAUUUAAAUAUUUUUAUAA